CCUUAAUGAACAAACAGAGAAGAAUGUCGCAAGCCCAGAGUUGUACAAGAGAGAGACACAACCUCCGGGAGCAGGGAGUGCUAGUACUGCUCGCAGGGAAAUGAAGAGUUGUCUUCGGUCGAUUGCAGAAUGCGGUGAGUGGCUUAAGAAUCAUGAGGACAAGUAGGGAAAACAGCUGAGUUUGCAGCCAUCUGAGCAUUGUGCAGGGUGCCCUAGUGGUAAAUUGCAAAUAGGAGCUUUGACUGCCGUCAGCUUUGACCUUUCGUCAGCAGGUAACGGGGAGCCACGAAGGGUCUUGGAGCAGAGGACACCAUGAGCUCGGCUUUAGGAAGAGUCAUCUGGAGGAAGUGGAGAGGAUGGAGUGGAGAAGGAAUACUGGGGAGGCCAGGAGACGGUCGCUUCGGUGCCACCGUGAAAUUGCCCAGAAGAGGGAUAGUGAAGGGAAAAGGCAAGGGCGACUGGGACAGAGUGUGCGCAGCUGAUGAGAGGUAUGCCCUCCUUCGUUAUGCCACUACCUUCUUCUGUGGAAGUGGGCGCUGCUGGACGGGGCCAGGAGACCGGCAGCAGCAGCUGUGUGCUGCAGAGAGAAGAAGAAAUACUUCUGCCGGGAGCUUGGAGCUCCCGGGAGUGGUUUUCAUAUCCAGCAGUUCAGUUCAGGCUUAUGCCUCCCAGAAUCACUGUAUUAAAUCAUAGGUAAGUUUAAGAAGCCAGGAGAGUGACCAUGAGACUCCCCACCAGAUGAAAACCCCACUUGGUGCCAGUAAGGAUUUAGUAGCUAGAGAAAUUGGUGUGUGUGUGUGUGUGCGCGUAUGUGUGUGUGUGUGUGUGUGUGUAGAGGGGUGGAUUCGCUCCUUUACAAAAGGAGACUUCAAUUUGUAGAAGGAGCCACACUGGGCUUGCUCUAUAGAGAACUCCCCUAGGCAUUUCUCGUGAUCCAUGAUUGGUAACAAUGAGAUUUGCAUCCAUUGUUUUUUCAGGAAGUUGUUGAGCCAAGUGAGGAACACUUUCC
rnacentral:lncRNA from 1 species